UACAGAGGGUGCGAGCGUUAAUCGGAAUUACUGGGCGUAAAGCGUGCGUAGACGGUAGCGUAAGUCAGAUGUGAAAGCCCCGGGCUCAACCUGGGAAUUGCAUUUGAGACUGCUCUGCUCGGGUGCGGAAGAGGGAAGCGGAAUUUCCGGUGUAGCGGUGAAAUGCGUAGAUAUCGGAAGGAACACCAGUGGCGAAAGCGGCUUCCUGGUCCAGCACCGACGUUCAGGCACGAAAGCGUGGGGAGCAAACAGG
rnacentral:rRNA from 1 species